rnacentral:rRNA from 1 species
GAUGAACGCUGGCGGCGUGCCUAAUACAUGCAAGUCGAGCGAACAGAUAAGGAGCUUGCUCCUUUGACGUUAGCGGCGGACGGGUGAGUAACACGUGGGUAACCUACCUAUAAGACUGGAAUAACUCCGGGAAACCGGGGCUAAUGCCGGAUAACAUUUAGAACCGCAUGGUUCUAAAGUGAAAGAUGGUUUUACUAUCACUUAUAGAUGGACCCGCGCCGUAUUAGCUAGUUGGUAAGGUAACGGCUUACCAAGGCAACGAUACGUAGCCGACCUGAGAGGGUGAUCGGCCACACGGGAGCUGAGACACGGUCCAGACUCCUACGGGAGGCAGCAGUAGGGAAUCUUCCGCAAUGGGCGAAAGCCUGACGGAGCAACGCCGCGUGAGUGAUGAAGGUCUUCGGAUCGUAAAACUCUGUUAUUAGGGAAGAACAAAUGUGUAAGUAACUGUGCACGUCUUGACGGUACCUAAUCAGAAAGCCACGGCUAACUACGUG